rnacentral:rRNA from 1 species
UACGGAGGGUGCAAGCGUUAUCUGGAUUCACUGGGUUUAAAGGGUGCGUAGGUGGGCAGGUAAGUCAGUGGUGAAAUCUCCGGGCUUAACUCGGAAACUGCCAUUGAUACUAUCUGUCUUGAAUACCGUGGAGGUCAGCGGAAUAUGUCAUGUAGCGGUGAAAUGCUUAGAUAUGACAUAGAACACCAAUUGCGAAGGCAGCUGGCUACACGAAUAUUGACACUGAUGCACGAAAGCGUGGGGAUCAAACAGG